ACGAACGCUGGCGGCGUGCCUAAUACAUGCAAGUAGAACGCUGAAGGAGGAGCUUGCUCUUCUGGAUGAGUUGCGAACGGGUGAGUAACGCGUAGGUAACCUGCCUGGUAGCGGGGGAUAACUAUUGGAAACGAUAGCUAAUACCGCAUAAGAGUAGAUGUUGCAUGACAUUUGCUUAAAAGGUGCAAUUGCAUCACUACCAGAUGGACCUGCGUUGUAUUAGCUAGUUGGUGGGGUAACGGCUCACCAAGGCGACGAUACAUAGCCGACCUGAGAGGGUGAUAGGCCCAACUGGGACUGAGACACGGCCCAGACUCCUACGGGAGGCAGCAGUAGGGAAUCUUCGGCAAUGGACGGAAGUCUGACCGAGCAACGCCGCGUGAGUGAAGAAGGUUUUCGGAUCGUAAAGCUCUGUUGUAAGAGAAGAACGAGUGUGAGAGUGGAAAGUUCACACUGUGACGGUAUCUUACCAGAAAGGGACGGCUAACUACGUG
rnacentral:rRNA from 1 species